GACGAGGUUGUGAACGAAACUGAAACCCCAAGAGGCGCGCAUCAGGCGCAAGAGCUGCCGAAAUGCGACAAAAGCUGCAAAACCAGAGAGUACAAAUACGAGUUCGUACAAAAAACACACCGACUGAACUGAGUGGCCGAUCACAAGCCUGCAUGGGAUGUAGUCAUGCACAGGGGGGCAGCAGAAAAUCGAAAAAUCGAACCCACCAAGCCAACGAACUUGUUGGGGGAAUGAAUAUCUCUUCAAUUAUGGGAACUUAAGUAUGGCAUAUACAAAACAGAGUACUUGGAAAAAAGAACUGGACUCUACAGUUUCAAACAGACCCAUAAAAGGAGAGACAAUGAGAUCUGAAAGAAUCAAACUCAUUGUCGUUAACUAACCAUACUUCCUGCCUGACAUUAAACAGCAAAUCUUGGAAAAUCUCCUAGUAAUCGCCUUAAUUAUAGCCAUACAAAAAUGCUUCGGCACGCCCAUUGGGUUCGUUUAACCAUUUUUCACGGCACUUUUUGCGGCUUAAUUAAGACACUGCACGAUGCCGUUAAGAGUGCCCCUAGGCGUCCCAAUAACCACCUCUUUCUGUCGCCUUACGCGCUCUGGAAAAUUAUGAACUACCCACAGCAGUGUGAUGAACUUUUAAGGCGAUUACUACAAGACCUGGUCCAUUAGCCCAUCAACGAAAAGGUACAAUAAAAAGUAAUAAUGUGAGCUUGUACUACAUAUAUAAACGAAAUUUAAUUAGUAGCGCUAAUAAAAAGCGAAACUAACGCGAAUCGGUGAAAACUUUUCUACAUACGACUGGCUUAAUUCACACAUUUCACAUCAACGUGACAGAGAUCAAAUUAGAAAUUCGUAUGGCCCCGACCGCAUGUUCAU